GCGCCCGUAGCUUAACGGAUAAAGCACCACCCUUCGAAGGUGCGAGAUGGGGGUUCGAUUCCCUCCGGGCGCA
rnacentral:tRNA from 1 species